UUGACCUCGGAUCAGGUAGGAAGACCCGCUGAACUUAAGCAUAUCAAUAAGCGGAGGAAAAGAAACCAACAGGGAUUGCCCUAGUAACGGCGAGUGAAGCGGCAACAGCUCAAAUUUGAAAUCUGGCUUCGGCCCGAGUUGUAAUUUGCAGAGGAAGCUUUAGGCGCGGCACUUUCUGAGUCCCCUGGAACGGGGCGCCAUAGAGGGUGAGAGCCCCGUAUAGUUAGAUGCCUAGCCUGUGUAAAGCUCCUUCGACGAGUCGAGUAGUUUGGGAAUGCUGCUCAAAAUGGGAGGUAAAUUUCUUCUAAAGCUAAAUACCGGCCAGAGACCGAUAGCGCACAAGUAGAGUGAUCGAAAGAUGAAAAGCACUUUGAAAAGAGGGUUAAAUAGCACGUGAAAUUGUUGAAAGGGAAGCGCUUGUGACCAGACUUGCGCCGGGCAGAUCAUCCGGUGUUCUCACCGGUGCACUCUGCCCGGCUCAGGCCAGCAUCGGUUCUCGCGGGGGGAUAAAGGCCCUGGGAACGUAGCUCCUCCGGGAGUGUUAUAGCCCGGGGCGUAAUGCCCUCGCGGGGACCGAGGUUCG
rnacentral:rRNA from 1 species